rnacentral:rRNA from 1 species
UACGUAGGGUGCAAGCGUUGUCCGGAAUUAUUGGGCGUAAAGAGCUCGUAGGCGGUCUGUCGCGUCGGCUGUGAAAACCCGGAGCUCAACUCCGGGCCUGCAGUCGAUACGGGCAGACUGGAGUUCGGCAGGGGAGACUGGAAUUCCUGGUGUAGCGGUGAAAUGCGCAGAUAUCGGGAAGAACACCCGUGGCGAAGGCGGCUCUCUGGGACGGUACUGACGCUGAGACGCGAAAGCGUGGGGAGCGAACAGG